rnacentral:rRNA from 1 species
GACGAACGCUGGCGGCGUGCCUAAUACAUGCAAGUAGAACGCUGAAGAGAGGAGCUUGCUCUUCUUGGAUGAGUUGCGAACGGGUGAGUAACGCGUAGGUAACCUGCCUUGUAGCGGGGGAUAACUAUUGGAAACGAUAGCUAAUACCGCAUAACAAUGGAUGACACAUGUCAUUUAUUUGAAAGGGGCAAUUGCUCCACUACAAGAUGGACCUGCGUUGUAUUAGCUAGUAGGUGAGGUAACGGCUCACCUAGGCGACGAUACAUAGCCGACCUGAGAGGGUGAUCGGCCACACUGGGACUGAGACACGGCCCAGACUCCUACGGGAGGCAGCAGUAGGGAAUCUUCGGCAAUGGGGGCAACCCUGACCGAGCAACGCCGCGUGAGUGAAGAAGGUUUUCGGAUCGUAAAGCUCUGUUGUAAGUCAAGAACGAGUGUGAGAGUGGAAAGUUCACACUGUGACGGUAGCUUACCAGAAAGGGACGGCUAACUACGUGCCAGCAGCCGCGGUAAUACGUAGGUCCCGAGCGUUGUCCGGAUUUAUUGGGCGUAAAGCGAGCGCAGGCGGUUUGAUAAGUCUGAAGUUAAAGGCUGUGGCUCAACCAUAGUUCGCUUUGGAAACUGUCAAACUUGAGUGCAGAAGGGGAGAGUGGAAUUCCAUGUGUAGCGGUGAAAUGCGUAGAUAUAUGGAGGAACACCGGUGGCGAAAGCGGCUCUCUGGUCUGUAACUGACGCUGAGGCUCGAAAGCGUGGGGAGCGAACAGGAUUAGAUACCCUGGUAGUCCACGCCGUAAACGAUGAGUGCUAGGUGUUGGAUCCUUUCCGGGAUUCAGUGCCGCAGCUAACGCAUUAAGCACUCCGCCUGGGGAGUACGACCGCAAGGUUGAAACUCAAAGGAAUUGACGGGGGCCCGCACAAGCGGUGGAGCAUGUGGUUUAAUUCGAAGCAACGCGAAGAACCUUACCGGGUCUUGACAUCCCGAUGCUAUUUCUAGAGAUAGAAAGUUACUUCGGUACAUCGGUGACAGGUGGUGCAUGGUUGUCGUCAGCUCGUGUCGUGAGAUGUUGGGUUAAGUCCCGCAACGAGCGCAACCCCUAUUGUUAGUUGUCAUCAUUCAGUUGGGCACUCUAGCGAGACUGCCGGUAAUAAACCGGAGGAAGGUGGGGAUGACGUCAAAUCAUCAUGCCCCUUAUGACCUGGGCUACACACGUGCUACAAUGGUUGGUACAACGAGUUGCGAGUCGGUGACGGCAAGCUAAUCUCUUAAAGCCAAUCUCAGUUCGGAUUGUAGGCUGCAACUCGCCUACAUGAAGUCGGAAUCGCUAGUAAUCGCGGAUCAGCACGCUGCGGUGAAUACGUUCCCGGGCCU